AGGGCAGUAGUUCAACUGGUAGAGCACCGGUCUCCAAAACCGGGGGUUGGGGGUUCAAAUCCCUUCUGCCCUGCUA
rnacentral:tRNA from 2 species